rnacentral:rRNA from 1 species
GCAGGCAGGACUCUACACAUCAUAGCAAGUCACACGUCUGCGUUAGCAGCAUGUAAGACUUCUCGCGUUCUCUUGAGAGCUGGCAGGACGGGUGAGUAAUGCCUAGGAAUCUGCCUGGUAGUGGGGGAUAACGUUCGGAAACGGACGCUAAUACCGCAUACGUCCUACGGGAGAAAGCAGGGGACCUUCGGGCCUUGCGCUAUCAGAUGAGCCUAGGUCGGAUUAGCUAGUUGGUGAGGUAAUGGCUCACCAAGGCGACGAUCCGUAACUGGUCUGAGAGGAUGAUCAGUCACACUGGAACUGAGACACGGUCCAGACUCCUACGGGAGGCAGCAGUGGGGAAUAUUGGACAAUUGGGCGAAAGCCUGAUCCAGCCAUUGCCGCGUGUGUGAAGAAGGUC